rnacentral:rRNA from 1 species
GACGAACGCUGGCGGCGUGCUUAACACAUGCAAGUCGAACGAAGAGCGAUGGAAGCUUGCUUCUAUCAAUCUUAGUGGCGAACGGGUGAGUAACGCGUAAUCAACCUGCCCUUCAGGGGGGGACAACAGUUGGAAACGACUGCUAAUGCCGCAUACGAUCUGACCUCGGCAUCGAGGAUAGAUGAAAGGUGGCCUCUAUUUAUAAGCUAUCACUGAAGGAGGGGAUUGCGUCUGAUUAGCUAGUUGGAGGGGUAACGGCCCACCAAGGCGAUGAUCAGUAGCCGGUCUGAGAGGAUGAACGGCCACAUUGGGACUGAGACACGGCCCAGACUCCUACGGGAGGCAGCAGUGGGGAAUCUUCCGCAAUGGACGAAAGUCUGACGGAGCAACGCCGCGUGAGUGAUGACGGCCUUCGGGUUGUAAAGCUCUGUUAAUCGGGACGAAAGGCCUUCUUGCGAAUAGUUAGAAGGAUUGACGGUACCGGAAUAGAAAGCCACGGCUAACUACGUG